AUUGAACGCUGGCGGCAGGCCUAACACAUGCAAGUCGAGCGUGCGGCGGACGGGUGAGUAAUGUAUGGGGACUGCCCGAUAGAGGGGGAUAACUACUGGAAACGGUGGCUAAUACCGCAUACUAUCGGAUAACCCAUAUGGGAUUGGCUAGUAGUGGGGGUAAAGGCUCACCUAGGCGACGAGCUCUAGCUGGUCUGAGAGGAUGAUCGGCCCAACGGGGACGUGGACACGGCCCAGACUCCUACGGAGGCAGCAGUGGGGAAUAUUGCCCAAUGGGGGAAAGCCGACUGCAGCCAUGCCGCGUGUAUGAAGAAGGCCUUAGGGUUGUAAAGUACUUUCAGCGGGGAGGCGUUACCCUCAGAAGAAGCACCGGCUAACUCCGUGCCAGCAGCCGCGGUAAUAC
rnacentral:rRNA from 1 species